rnacentral:ncRNA from 1 species
CUCUUAUCAAGAGCAGGUGGAGGGAUAUGGCCCGAUGAAACCCAGCAACCGACCGUAAUACCAUUGUAAGAUGGGGCGCCCGCAUUAUAUGGGGAGCCGCUGAUUAAGUUCAGCGUAUGGCACGGUGCUAAUUCCGGCGAAACAAUUUUGUUUUGCUAAGAUAAGAG